rnacentral:lncRNA from 1 species
UUGAGCCUGACUGCUCUUUGCGGAGAAUCUAUUCUUGCCAGAAAGUAUGAAGCGGAGUUUAUCUGUUAAUUCACCCGAGUUUGAUGAGAACUUUUAGUAGGACGUGCAAGGACAAGCUUGGAAGUCAUUGCCAUGUACAACUCCAGAGAUGAAGGAGCGGGAAUCUGUAAAUUCAUCAUGACAAGCUCCCUUCUGCAACUUGAAGGUUAGUUAGAUGAGAACUUUUAGUAGGACGUGCAAGGACAAGCUUGGAAGUGAUUGCCAUGUACAACUCCAGAGAUGAAGGAGCGGGAAUCUGUAAAUUCAUCAUGACAAGCUCCCUUCUGCAACUUGAAGGUUAGUUAUCUUACAACCCCAUUAAGAUUGGCGAUAGCACGUUUGGUUUUCAUUUUUUGCAGCUCUCUUAUGACUUAUGCAUCAGGUUUAGAAUUAUUGAUAUAUGACUCAAGUAUAUAGCAACAAAAACAAUGUCAACUAAAGAAAUAGGGUGGUGUUACUUGUUAGAUCUGUCGGUGGCUUUCUAUGUUCAAAUUAAAUUAUACAGCGACGAGCUCACAAACUUCCCUCUCUCUGUUGCUUGAGGAUGUUGAUACCUGAAAGCAAUGUCUUAUACAUAGGAAGUUCGUUGAAUCCAGUAAGUUCGUUGCAUAACAAUUAUUUGAAAAAAUUUGAAGAUACUAUUACAGCGGAAGAAGGAAGAAAUUUUUCAGAAUGCGUUAAAGCCAAUACAUUAGCAUUAGAACAUUCUUCAUUGUUCACUGCUCCUUCCUGGGAAACUAAUGUAAAGAAAGUGAAUAUGGAUUUAAUCUCUGUAUAUGUAGAUUUACACUUGUAGAAUCUCUAAAUAGAGAGGUUUAAGCUGUAGCGAUACGUAGUAAUAUAUAUAGAGAGAUAUAGACUCAUGAUCAUUCGUCUGAAUCAUCAUCACCACCACCAAAAAUGGAAAUCCUGUUGUACAGCAAGAAAAGAACCAGAACAAGAAACAGAGCAACUCCGAUGGGCGAUCCACUGGCCCGG